ACUGCGCAGCCUAUUGUAUCUGAGCCCCGCUUUGACGUCGGACCCCAGAGCUCGGUAAUACUAGCCAGUGGGCGGAGCCUGCAGGGCCUGGGGAGACUCGGGCGUUCACGUGACACGUAUCCCGGGUCACCGCUGGAAAGACACCUUCCUCCCAGGGGAGCGGGAGGAAGUGUCCAGGCUCCAGAGGGCGCGGUUUGCAGCACCCGAGGUCGCCAUGGCUACCGAGCCCGAGACCACUGUGGCCGCCUCAGCUGCGGAGCCCGCGGUGCCGUCGCUUAUGGAUCGUUACUUCACUCGCUGGUACAAAGCGGAUGUCAAAGGAAAACCCUGUGAAGACCACUGUAUACUCCAACACUGUAACUGUUUCUAACAGAACUUGCACCUCUGUGUAAGAUUUACUGCUCUGAUGGAGAAGAAUACACCAUAUCUAGGUGAGUUACUUUUUAACCACAAUUUUGGAGAAACAAAGAAGAUAAUAUUUUUCUUCAAAGCAAUAUUUUCUUUAAAUAGCUGUGUUAGAGGACGGUUGAUGGAAGUGAAUGAAAACAUUCUCCAUGAGCCAUCUAUUCUUCAAGAGAAGGUAAAA